rnacentral:rRNA from 3 species
CCGGCUUACCAACCCGAUGCAAACUGCGAAUACCGGAGAAUGUUAUCACGGGAGACACACGGCGGGUGCUAACGUCCGUCGUGAAGAGGGAAACAACCCAGACCGCCAGCUAAGGUCCCAAAGUCAUGGUUAAGUGGGAAACGAUGUGGGAAGGCCCAGACAGCCAGGAUGUUGGCUUAGAAGCAGCCAUCAUUUAAAGAAAGCGUAAUAGCUCACUGGUCGAGUCGGCCUGCGCGGAAGAUGUAACGGGGCUAAACCAUGCACCGAAGCUGCGGCAGCGACACUGUGUGUUGUUGGGUAGGGGAGCGUUCUGUAAGCCUGUGAAGGUGUGUCGUGAGGCAUGCUGGAGGUAUCAGAAGUGCGAAUGCUGACAUAAGUAACGAUAAAGCGGGUGAAAAGCCCGCUCGCCGGAAGACCAAGGGUUCCUGUCCAACGUUAAUCGGGGCAGGGUGAGUCGACCCCUAAGGCGAGGCCGAAAGGCGUAGUCGAUGGGAAACGGGUUAAUAUUCCCGUACUUGGUGUUACUGCGAAGGGGGGACGGAGAAGGCUAUGUUGGCCGGGCGACGGUUGUCCCGGUUUAAGCGUGUAGGUGUGUGUUCCAGGUAAAUCCGGUUCACUUUAACACUGAGGCGUGACGACGAGGCACUACGGUGCUGAAGCAACAAAUGCCCUGCUUCCAGGAAAAGCCUCUAAGCAUCAGGUAACAUCAAAUCGUACCCCAAACCGACACAGGUGGUCAGGUAGAGAAUACCAAGGCGCUUGAGAGAACUCGGGUGAAGGAACUAGGCAAAAUGGUGCCGUAACUUCGGGAGAAGGCACGCUGACACGUAGGUGAAGUGAUUUACUCAUGGAGCUGAAGUCAGUCGAAGAUACCAGCUGGCUGCAACUGUUUAUUAAAAACACAGCACUGUGCAAACACGAAAGUGGACGUAUACGGUGUGACGCCUGCCCGGUGCCGGAAGGUUAAUUGAUGGGGUCAGCGCAAGCGAAGCUCCUGAUCGAAGCCCCGGUAAACGGCGGCCGUAACUAUAACGGUCCUAAGGUAGCGAAAUUCCUUGUCGGGUAAGUUCCGACCUGCACGAAUGGCGUAAUGAUGGCCAGGCUGUCUCCACCCGAGACUCAGUGAAAUUGAACUCGCUGUGAAGAUGCAGUGUACCCGCGGCAAGACGGAAAGACCCCGUGAACCUUUACUAUAGCUUGACACUGAACAUUGAGCCUUGAUGUGUAGGAUAGGUGGGAGGCUUUGAAGUGUGGACGCCAGUCUGCAUGGAGCCGACCUUGAAAUACCACCCUUUAAUGUUUGAUGUUCUAACGUGGACCCGUUACCCGGGUUGCGGACAGUGUCUGGUGGGUAGUUUGACUGGGGCGGUCUCCUCC